CAGCCGCCGCGGUAAUACGAAGGGUGCAAGCGUUACUCGGAAUUACUGGGCGUAAAGCGUGCGUAGGUGGUGGUUUAAGUCCGUUGUGAAAGCCCUGGGCUCAACCUGGGAAUUGCAGUGGAUACUGGAUCACUAGAGUGUGGUAGAGGAUAGUGGAAUUUCCGGUGUAGCAGUGAAAUGCGUAGAGAUCGGAAGGAACAUCUGUGGCGAAGGCGACUAUCUGGGCCAACACUGACACUGAGGCACGAAAGCGUGGGGAGCAAACAGGAUUAGAUACCCCAGUAGUCCCUGUCUCUUAUAC
rnacentral:rRNA from 1 species